AUGCCCCCUCGUCCACUUGAGUGUUGGACUUUACCUGGGCUCUGUCCAUGUGCGUCCGUGCCCCCUCGUCCACUCGAGUGUUGGACUUUUCCCGGGGCUCUGUCCAUGCGCGUCCGUGCCCCCUCAUCCACUUCACCGGGACUCUGUCCACUUCACCAGGGCUCUGUCCACGCGCGUCCGUGCCCCCUCGUCCACCCGAGAGUUGGACUUCACCCGGGCUCUGUCCACGCGCGUCCGUGCCCCCUCAUCCACUUCACCCGGGCUCUGUCCACGCGCGUCCGUGCCCCCUCGUCCACUCGAGUGUUGGACUUUUCCCGGGGCUCUGUCCAUGCGCGUCCGUGCCCCCUCAUCCACUUCACCGGGACUCUGUCCACUUCACCAGGGCUCUGUCCACGCGCGUCCGUGCCCCCUCGUCCACCCGAGUGUUGGACUUCACCCGGCUCUGUCCACGCGUGUCCGUGCCCCCUCAUCCACUUCACCCGGGCUCUGUCCACGCACGUCCGUGCCCCCUCGUCCACCCGAGAGUUGGACUUCACCCGGGCUCUGUCCACGCGCGUCCGUGCCCCCUCGUCCACUCGAGUGUUGGACUUUUCCCGGGGCUCUGUCCACGCGCGUCCGUGCCCCCUCAUCCACUUCACCCGGGCUCUGUCCACGCGCGUCCGUGCCCCCUCGUCCACUCGAAUGUUGGACUUCACCCGGGGCUCUGUCCACGCACGUCCGUGCCCCCUCAUCCACUUCACCUGGGCUCUGUCCACGCGCGUCCAUGCCCCCUCAUCCACUUCACCCGGGUUCUGUCCACGCACGUCCGUGCCCCCUCGUCCACUUCACCAGGGCUCUGUCCACGCGCGUCCGUGCCCCCUCGUCCACUUCACCCGGGUUCUGUCCACGCACGUCCGUGCCCCCUCGUCCACUUCACCCGGGUUCUGUCCACGCACGUCCGUGCCCCCUCGUCCACUUCACCCGGGCUCUGUCCACGCGCGUCCGUGCCCCCUCGUCCACCCGAGUGUUGGACUUCACCCGGGGCUCUGCUCCUCUCUGCCGGAGAAGCUGCUUCCUCCCGCAGUGCCUGGGCAGGCGCCAAGAUCACGGCUACUCCGGGUUGCUCUCUUCGCCUCCCACCUUCACCACACCCUCAACUCCUUUGCCACGCCCGGGCCGCACGUGAGCACAUCACUCUCCAGCUUGACCACCUUCGGUGAUCCUGAACUGCAUUCGGAAAAGAGUGCCACUCCUGGGCAAGCCGUGCCAGCCUUGACCCAGAGCCUCUGUUCCCUCGGGCGCAUUCCUGGCUGCCUGGGGCGUCUGUCAGUGAGUCCCCGGCCUGAGCACCCGCCCCAGCCUCAUCACCUGUCACCUGUCACCUGUCAGGCCCUCCCAGCUGCUGGUUCUUUCUGUGUCCAUCCACGCAUGCGAAUCACAGGAGGUCAGGGCAGGGCCCUGCUCACGCUGGAACCUGCAGCAGCAGCUUUGCACACCGGAGGGUGUGCAGCGUGUGCGGCACUGCACCAGGGCUGGCGGCACAGAACUGUCUUGCCCCUUAGCCUCCUGACAGCCGCUCCUCCUUGA
ensembl:lncRNA